rnacentral:lncRNA from 10 species
CACCUAUAUACUCUUCUCUCUGCCCGUCUCUGCUUCCCCCCCCUUCCCCCCCCCCUUUUCUCCCGGCCGACGGAGCUGAAGGGGCGGGGGUUCCUUCCUUGGAGUGUUUCUAGAGCUCGGAGGCUGCUGGUAGGGGGGCACCACUUUCAGAUAAAAACAUAGACCUGAAUGGCAUCAUCCAGUAUCCAAGGAAACCAUGUUCUCUAAACAUGAAUAUGCCUUUGGGGGAAGACAGAAGAACAUGGAAGCCAUGUGAAAAAAACGGAUCCUAAGGCAGUUUUGAACAUCUGGAGGCCUGAUUUAUUGGAGAUUGCAAAUGUACAGUGUAACAUAGCUGUGGAGAGAUCUCACAUGAGAUGGCAAAGAGGUCAAGACAAAAAUUCUGCAUUUGGGAAAAGAAUAACACAUGGACUUCCUCCUACAGGAUUAUAGGACUGUGUAUGUCCUACACACACAUUAUAUGUCCUACACGCACAGUGAUGAGGAGUGACAAAAUGAAGACUCCAGAAUCCUCUUUAUCAGAUCCUGAAUGUGCACUUUCUGAAGUGAAGUCCACUAUGUGCUGGGCACACAGAGAAUAGAGCAUGAAACAAAAGCAACAUGACCCUGCCCUCACCAAGACUACAGGGAGUGAUGGAGCAUACAACUUUGUUUCAGAAUGCAAUUCAGAUCUUCCCUUUCGCUUGGCUUCUUAAAACUUCUUUUGAGGAUGGUAAAAUUUCGUGUUAUAUUAAAUUUCAUCCUGUAACUGAUACUCUGGGAUGAUGUUGGCCAAUAACUAGCAAGACUUUAAAUAAUCAACUAGUUUAGGCAUUGCUUAGCACGCUCCAGCUGACUUCACAAGUAAAACCAUGUGAAGAAAGAAGGUUUUCAGGUAACACAGAUGGAGGUGAUGAUCUUUCUCAUUUUGUGGAAAAUAUUAAUUUCUCAUUUUUUAUUCACUGACAAUUAGUAAAAUUCCUUACUCUACCUAAUAUGUAGACUUCUGAACUAUGUAAGUAAAACUUUAUAGUAACUGAAAAGUUUGGGUAUUGUAUUUUCUUGGAGAAAAUGUUAGCUUCCCUCUGUUACUUUUAAAUGUUAAACUUUUAAUGAAUUUCAUCAAUGUAUAAUAAUGGGCAUAAUGAUCCACUCUGAAAUAUUUACUGUCAUUUUGAAUUUAUUCUUGAGUCAUCACAAACGUGUACAUCUCUUAUACCUUCAUGGAUGUUAUUGGUGAGAUGAUCUCUUGUUGUCAACACCUUGAGGAUAGGGACUUAUUCAGGCUCGCCUCUAGCAAGUGCUAAGUGCCUGGGAACACAUAAUAAAUAUUUCAUGAUAGGAGGAUGUUAGAAUAAGAGGAAAAACCAGAUUCUUACCCAAAUAAAUAAUAUUUAUUAUAUUCUUAUUUGUAUAUCAUUGUAACUGUAAAAAAA